rnacentral:rRNA from 1 species
UACGGAGGGUGCAAGCGUUAUCCGGAUUCACUGGGUUUAAAGGGUGCGUAGGUGGGCAGGUAAGUCAGUGGUGAAAUCUCCGGGCUUAACCCGGAAACUGACCAUUGAUACUAUCAGUCUUGAAUACCGUGGAGGUAAGCGGAAUAUGUCAUGUAGCGGUGAAAUGCUUAGAUAUGACAUAGAACACCAAUUGCGAAGGCAGCUUACUACCCGAAUAUUGACACUGAGGCACGAAAGCGUGGGGAUCAAACAGG